UCUUACAAAAUGAAACAAAAGAUACCGCCAAACUAUAAUGGUAGACGCGGUUUAUGUAUACUGUGAGCCAAGGAUUCUUACAUGGACCAAAGGACAAUAUGUGCAUAUGCUAGGAUAGAUAAGCAUCACAUGCUUAGAUGAGGGAGAGACGGUGCAGAAUCCAUUCCCUUUGGCUAAAAUAAUUUCCUAAAGGGGUGACACUCUUAUAAAUAACAUGAAAGAGUGCAGGGAUGUCAUACAACAGUUGGUCAUUCAAUUUGAGCUUGGUAAAGAUGGUGAGAAAGGAAAAGUUAGUAUUUGCUCUUGCAUGGCUGCUGCUAAUGGCAUCCAUUAUUAUGUCAGCAAACGCAAUGGCAGGUGCUCGCCUCAAUAAAAUUGAGCAUAUGGUUCAUCCCCAAGGUUGUCGCUGCUGCUGGUUCAUUUGGAAGCCUGUAAUCCGCUGUGGAAAAGUAUGUUGUGAAGACGGAUGUUGUACUUAAACUUGACGCAUAAGCAUCAGGGAGGGGGGGUUGGGUAAGAGGAGUGUCUUGUUUAUGUGCUGGUAGAAGGUAUGCUUGUCCUAAUAGAUUGGGGCUGAUGCUUAUCAAAUAAAAAGAUAGAAUAAAUAAGUGUUGUUGAAAUACCAUCAUGCAAGGAGAAGAAAGCUCUAACCUCUGUUUUAUUUAAAGGAGGUUUUCUGUGAGUA